rnacentral:rRNA from 1 species
UGCAAGUAGAACGCUGAAGGAGGAGCUUGCUUCUCUGGAUGAGUUGCGAACGGGUGAGUAACGCGUAGGUAACCUGCCUGGUAGCGGGGGAUAACUAUUGGAAACGAUAGCUAAUACCGCAUAAUAGUAGAUGUUGCAUGACAUUUGCUUAAAAGGUGCAAUUGCAUCACUACCAGAUGGACCUGCGUUGUAUUAGCUAGUUGGUGGGGUAACGGCUCACCAAGGCGACGAUACAUAGCCGACCUGAGAGGGUGAUCGGCCACACUGGGACCGAGACACGGCCCAGACUCCGACGGGAGGCAGCAGUAGGGAAUCUUCGGCAAUGGACGGAAGUCUGACCGAGCAACGCCGCGUGAGUGAAGAAGGUUUUCGGAUCGUAAAGCUCUGUUGUAAGAGAAGAACGAGUGUGAGAGUGGAAAGUUCACACUGUGACGGUAUCUUACCAGAAAGGGACGGCUAACUACGUGCCAGCAGCCGCGGUAAUACGUAGGUCCCGAGCGUUGUCCGGAUUUAUUGGGCGUAAAGCGAGCGCAGGCGGUUAGAUAAGUCUGAAGUUAAAGGCUGUGGCUUAACCAUAGUACGCUUUGGAAACUGUUUAACUUGAGUGCAAGAGGGGAGAGUGGAAUUCCAUGUGUAGCGGUGAAAUGCGUAGAUAUAUGGAGGAACACCGGUGGCGAAAGCGGCUCUCUGGCUUGUAACUGACGCUGAGGCUCGAAAGCGUGGGGAGCAAACAGGAUUAGAUACCCUGGUAGUCCACGCCGUAAACGAUGAGUGCUAGGUGUUAGACCCUUUCCGGGGUUUAGUGCCGCAGCUAACGCAUUAAGCACUCCGCCUGGGGAGUACGACCGCAAGGUUGAAACUCAAAGGAAUUGACGGGGGCCC